rnacentral:tRNA from 2 species
AUCCCACAAAAAUUAAUUAACAGCUAACUACCCAAACCAGCGGGCUUCUAUCUGCUUCUCCCGUUUCUUUAAG